GUCCACGCCGUAACGAUGUCUACUAGCCGUUGGGUUCCUUGAGGACUUAGUGGCGCAGCUAACGCAAUAAGUAGACCGCCUGGGGAGUACGGUCGCAAGAUUAAACUCAAAUGAAUUGACGGGGCCCGCACAAGCGGUGGAGCAUGUGGUUUAAUUCGACGCAACGCGAAGAACCUUACCAGGUCUUGACAUCCAGAGAACUUUCCAGAGAAUGGAUUGGUGCCUUCGGAACUCUGAGACAGGUGCUGCAUGGCUGUCGU
rnacentral:rRNA from 1 species